GGUGUUGGAGUAGGCAAUGAGUCAUUGGAAGCAGUUUGUGGACCUUUAUCAUAAGAAGAAAUAUCAACUGGAUUGGUAGGUAGAGAAUUUGAUUGAGGUCAUCUUGAGUAAACCAAAAGUGGAGGAGAAGACUUUUGGUCAAGAAGACUAGGAAUAGGAAGAGCUGUUGAAAUGGAAGUUUGGCUAACUGUAUUUAGUGAAAAAUAUGGAGAAGUCUCGAAAAGGUCACAUCUGCUGAAAGAAAAUAUUUAUUGGUAGUUACAUCAUAGCAUUUGUAGCCUUUUUAAAGAUUAUAAUAACCCAAGGAAAUACAUUUGAUAGAUUUUGGUUGAAGUUUGUCUUUUCCCAGGGUAAGAUUGUGAACAAAACUAGUACAAGCAAAUACACACAAUGAAAGAGGAAAAGGAUUUUGAUUUGGAUAGAGAACUAAAUGAGGACUCUAAUGCUAUAAAACAACAGAAGACAUACGAUUAAUCAGAUAGCAAGCAGUAAGGCCACCAAAAACGAAGAGGUACAUGAUGAUGAAGGAGCAAAGUGCGAGUUGUUUCAAUUAGAUGUCUAUUUUUACGCUCAGCUACUCUAUUUUGUUGAGGAGUAUGGGCUUAAGAAGAUUGAUGAAUGAUACCCUGAGAAGACAUAAAGGUUUGAAAAGGAAGAGAAAAAUAUUCUCAUGCAUUGUCACUACGUAACAUUUUGAUAGAAACUCCAAAUUGAGUACGUAUCUCAACAAAAAAUUUUUGAUACAGAGAAAAUAAUUUUGAAUAAUUUUUCAUUAAGAAUAACCAAGUGCAACAAGAAUAGUCAUCAGUAAAAGUGACAAAAUAAUGAAAGUCCAAAUUCGAACUUAUUGGACUUGGACCCCAUAUAUACGAAUGAACAAUGUCAAACAUGGAUGCGGCUCAACUAUUAAUUCAUUUGGAAAAUGAAGAGCUAGUUUGUUGCCAAAUUGAUAUGACUUAUGAUUUAAAGAGGAUAAAUGAGAAAGAGAAGGCACCAGUUUUUGGAGUUUUGGGGAUAUUUGGGUGACCCAACCGACGAUGGAGAAGAUUAGGACUAGCAUCAGAAGCAAGGAAAAUUGGUUUUUUUGGCUGGAGAGAUGAUACAGUCUUUGUGACUAUGACCUGCAUCAAUCAUCUUUUGUCGUACCCCAGUCCUGCACAAAAAACAGAAUCUACAAAAAAGAUCAUAAGAAAAUUUUGGUAUUUAGUUAAUUUACUAAUGAAUAUCAAAUUAUAUGUACAUUCAGGUGUAAAUAAAACUAAAUCUAAAGGUAAGGAAGGGAGAGGGCAAGCUUUACCUAUUCUUUUAACUAUAGUUUUUUGAUCCAUUAGCUAAGGUAACAUCAGAACAGAUUGAAGAAGCACCUUAAAGGGGAAAAAGUGUGAAAAAAGGGAAGAAAGUGUGAAAAGGGUUGCCCAAGGGGGGAGAAUUGCCAGAGUUCAACGAAAAGGUAGGAACAAGUUCCAGCGAGAAAGGGUCAUUGGCAUAGUUAUUAAAGGCUCAAGGU
rnacentral:misc_RNA from 1 species